GACGGAGGAUGCAAAUGUUAUCCGGAAUCACUGGGCGUAAAGCGUCUGUAGGUGGUUCGAAAAGUCCACUGUUAAAAAUUGAGGCUUAACUUCAAAGAUGCCGUGGAAACUUUCAAACUAGAGUAUGGUAGGGGUAGAGGGAAUUUCCAGUGGAGCGGUGAAAUGCGUAGAUAUUGGAAAGACCACCGAUGGCGAAGGCACUCUACUGGGCCAUUACUGACACUGAGAGACGAAAGCUAGGGGAGCAAAUGGG
rnacentral:rRNA from 1 species